GUUUGGUAAAUAAAUCAGGCUUUUUAGUAAAUUGUGACAAUCAUGACAGUAAAUCUUGGCACUAACUUAAAUGGUUCUCAUGGUACACCAAGCAGUUUUAAAAUAGGCUGCAAAUUUCUCUUUAAAAUUUUGGAGAUGUGGUUUAAAAAUUAAAUAAAAUAGGAAUCAUGAUGAAUUUCUGUUAGAAUGAUAAACAUCAUCCCUUCUGGAUAUGAUGAUGGAAAGAAGGAUUUAAAAUCAAGAAAAUUAUGGGGCAACCCUGACCAUCCUCUUCAUGAGACUGUAUUAGGAAAACAAUCUCUUUAGUCAGGGGCUUCUUCAAUUUCUCUAGUACAGUUCUCUACCAACAACCAUCUCCAUCAGCAAUAUUUCUCUGAAUGAUUUCAAUUAAUAUGAGUUACAACUACAUUUAAUUUCCAUUUGGGUUCAAUAAAGUGUUAUCCCAACACCGACUCGUGGUGUAUACCGCCACCUACAGUACUGGAGUAUGUAGGACAGAAUUUCCAUCAGCGAAUUAAUUACACCUGUUAGCUUAGCGGUUGCUGUCCUGACCAGCUCUUUUUGGACGAAGGAUGACUUCCCUUUUUGCUUCCAGUGUUUUUUAUUUAUUUAUUUAUUAUCUCUUCAGCAAUGAGCCAGCGUCCAUAUUAACCAUGGCUGGUGUUUGAAGGAAGCUGCAGGUAGCUGAAGUGCAACUUUGGAAAAGCAGGGGCGGUUCUAGGAUCAACUGAAGGUGCCCCUUCUCCACAAAAGCCUGACGAACUUCAAGGAUAUGCACUGCCUAGCCAAAAAA